rnacentral:rRNA from 1 species
UACGAAGGGGGCUAGCGUUGCUCGGAAUCACUGGGCGUAAAGCGCACGUAGGCGGACUCUUAAGUCGGUGGUGAAAUCCUGGAGCUCAACUCCAGAACUGCCUUUAAGACUGCAUCGCUUGAAUCCAGGAGAGGUGAGUGGAAUUCCGAGUGUAGAGGUGAAAUUCGUAGAUAUUCGGAAGAACACCAGUGGCGAAGGCGGCUCACUGGACUGGUAUUGACGCUGAGGUGCGAAAGCGUGGGGAGCAAACAGG